rnacentral:siRNA from 1 species
GCACACGUCGAUGCAACAUAUAGA